AUUGAACGCUGGCGGCAGGCCUAACACAUGCAAGUCGAACGAGUGGCGGACGGGUGAGUAAUGUCUGGGAAACUGCCUGAUGGAGGGGGAUAACUACUGGAAACGGUAGCUAAUACCGCAUACCAUCAGAUGUGCCCAGAUGGGCUUAGCUAGUUGGUGGGUGAACGGAUCACCAAGGCGACGAUCCCUAGCUGGUCUGAGCGGAUGACCAGCCACACUGGAACUGAGACACGGUCCAGACUCCUACGGGAGGUAGCAGUGGGGAAUAUUGCACAAUGGGCGCAAGCCUGAUGCAGCCAUGCCGCGUGGAUGAAGAAGGCCUUCGGGUUGUAAAGUACUUUCAGCGAGGAGGCGGUACUCGCAGAAGAAGCACCGGCUAACUCCGUGCCAGCAGCCGCGGUAAUUC
rnacentral:rRNA from 1 species